CGGGAGGGGCGGGGGUCCCUAUGCUGGCCAGGUCGAGCGACAGAUAAGGAGCUUGCUCCUUUGACGUUAGCGGCGGACGGGUGAGUAACACGUGGGUAACCUACCUAUAAGACUGGAAUAACUCCGGGAAACCGGGGCUAAUGCCGGAUAACAUUUAGAACCGCAUGGUUCUAAAGUGAAAGAUGGUUUUGCUAUCACUUAUAGAUGGACCCGCGCCGUAUUAGCUAGUUGGUAAGGUAAUGGCUUACCAAGGCAACGAUACGUAGCCGACCUGAGAGGGUGAUCGGCCACACUGGAACUGAGACACGGUCCAGACUCCUACGGGAGGCAGCAGUAGGGAAUCUUCCGCAAUGGGCGAAAGCCUGACGGAGCAACGCCGCGUGAGUGAUGAAGGGUUUCGGCUCGUAAAACUCUGUUAUUAGGGAAGAACAAACGUGUAAGUAACUGUGCACGUCUUGACGGUACCUAAUCAGAAAGCCACGGCUAACUACGUGCCAGCAGCCGCGGUAAUACGUAGGUGGCAAGCGUUAUCCGGAAUUAUUGGGCGUAAAGCGCGCGUAGGCGGUUUCUUAAGUCUGAUGUGAAAGCCCACGGCUCAACCGUGGAGGGUCAUUGGAAACUGGGAGACUUGAGUGCAGAAGAGGAAAGUGGAAUUCCAUGUGUAGCGGUGAAAUGCGCAGAGAUAUGGAGGAACACCCAGUGGGCGAAGGCGACUUUUCUGGUCUGUAACUGACGCUGAUGUGCGAAAGCGUGGGGGAUCAAACAGGAUUAGAUACCCCUGGUAGUCCACGCCCUAAACGAUGAGUGCUGAGUGUUGGGGGUUUCCCCCCUUUAGUGCUGCAGCUAACGCAUUAAGCACUCCGCCCGGGGGAGUACGACCGCAGGG
rnacentral:rRNA from 1 species